UUCCGUAGGUGAACCUGCGGAAGGAUCAUUACAGAGUUCAAGCCCUCUAGGGUAGAUCUCCCACCCUUGUGUAUUAUAACGAAAUGUUGCCUUGGCGGGCUGCGCUCUGCUGCCCGGGAUUCGUCCUGGUAUGCCCGCCGAAGGACCCCUAAAUUCUGUUUAUUUAGUGUCGUCUGAGUACUAUAUAAUAGUUAAAACUUUCAACAACGGAUCUCUUGGUUCUGGCAUCGAUGAAGAACGCAGCGAAAUGCGAUAAGUAAUGUGAAUUGCAGAAUUCAGUGAAUCAUCGAAUCUUUGAACGCACAUUGCGCCCCUUGGUAUUCCGAGGGGCAUGCCUGUUCGAGCGUCAUUAUGACCAAUCUAGCCUGGCUAGGUGUUGGGCUUCGCGGUUCCGCGGGCCUUAAAGUCAUUGGCGGUGCUCUUCAGCUCUACGCGUAGUAACUUUCUCGCUAUAGGGCCUGGAGGGAUGCUGGCCAUCAACCUCAACUUUCUUAGGUUGACCUCGGAUCAGGUAGGGAUACCCGCUGAACUUAA
rnacentral:rRNA from 1 species